rnacentral:rRNA from 1 species
UGCGUAGGCGGGUCUUUAAGUCAGGGGUGAAAUCCUGGAGCUCAACUCCAGAACUGCCUUUGAUACUGAAGAUCUUGAGUUCGGGAGAGGUGAGUGGAACUGCGAGUGUAGAGGUGAAAUUCGUAGAUAUUCGCAAGAACACCAGUGGCGAAGGCGGCUCACUGGCCCGAUACUGACGCUGAGGCACGAAAGCGUGGGGAGCAAACA